UACGUAGGGUGCAAGCGUUGUCCGGAAUUAUUGGGCGUAAAGAGCUCGUAGGCGGUUUGUCGCGUCGGCUGUGAAAACCCGGGGCUCAACCCCGGGCCUGCAGUCGAUACGGGCAAACUAGAGUGCGGUAGGGGAGACUGGAAUUCCUGGUGUAGCGGUGAAAUGCGCAGAUAUCAGGAAGAACACCCGUGGCUAAGGCGGCUCUCUAGUACGGUACUGACGCUGAGACGCGAAAGCGUGGGGAGCGAACAGG
rnacentral:rRNA from 1 species